GGCUCAGAGUGAACGCUGGCGGCGUGCUUAACACAUGCAAGUCGAACGAGAACGGAUUAUAGCUUGCUAUAAUUGUCAGCUAAGUGGCGCACGGGUGAGUAAUAUAUAGGUAACGUGCCCUAGAGAGGGGGAUAACAGUUGGAAACGAUUGCUAACACCCCAUAUGCCUUUAUCCCAUAAGGGAGCAAGGGAAAUAUUUAUAGCUCUAGGAUCGGCCUGUACAGUAUCAGUUAGUUGGUGAGGUAAUGGCUCACCAAGACAAUGACGCUUAACUGGUUUGAGAGGAUGAUCAGUCACACUGGAACUGAGACACGGUCCAGACUCCUACGGGAGGCAGCAGUGGGGAAUAUUGCACAAUGGACGAAAGUCUGAUGCAGCAACGCCGCGUGGAGGAUGACACAUUUCGGUGCGUAAACUCCUUUUAUAUAGGAAGAUAAUGACGGUACUAUAUGAAUAAGCACCGGCUAACUCCGUG
rnacentral:rRNA from 1 species